CGUACAGGUCUCCAUAGGUGAACCUGCGGAGGGAUCAUUACACAAAUAUGAAGGCGGGCUGGAACCUCUCGGGGUUACAGCCUUGCUGAAUUAUUCACCCUUGUCUUUUGCGUACUUCUUGUUUCCUUGGUGGGUUCGCCCACCACUAGGACAAACAUAAACCUUUUGUAAUUGCAAUCAGCGUCAGUAACAAAUUAAUAAUUACAACUUUCAACAACGGAUCUCUUGGUUCUGGCAUCGAUGAAGAACGCAGCGAAAUGCGAUAAGUAGUGUGAAUUGCAGAAUUCAGUGAAUCAUCGAAUCUUUGAACGCACAUUGCGCCCUUUGGUAUUCCAAAGGGCAUGCCUGUUCGAGCGUCAUUUGUACCCUCAAGCUUUGCUUGGUGUUGGGCGUCUUGUCUCUAGCUUUGCUGGAGACUCGCCUUAAAGUAAUUGGCAGCCGGCCUACUGGUUUCGGAGCGCAGCACAAGUCGCACUCUCUAUCAGCAAAGGUCUAGCAUCCAUUAAGCCUUUUUUUCAACUUUUGACCUCGGAUCAGGUAGGGAUACCCGCUGAACUUAAGCAUAUC
rnacentral:rRNA from 1 species